UACGGAGGGUGCAAGCGUUAUUCGGAAUCACUGGGCGUAAAGGGCGCGUAGGCGGUUUGUUAAGUUUGAUGUGAAAGCCCGGGGCUCAACUCCGGAAGUGCAUCGAAUACUGGCAAACUAGAGUAUGGGAGAGGAUGGUGGAAUUCCUGGUGUAGAGGUGAAAUUCGUAGAUAUCAGGAGGAACAUCGGCGGCGAAGGCGGCCAUCUGGACCAUAACUGACGCUUAGGCGCGAAAGCGUGGGGAGCAAACAGG
rnacentral:rRNA from 1 species